AUUGAACGCUGGCGGCAGGCUUAACACAUGCAAGUCGAGCGGUAGCACAGGGGAGCUUGCUCCCUGGGUGACGAGCGGCGGACGGGUGAGUAAUGUCUGGGAAACUGCCUGAUGGAGGGGGAUAACUACUGGAAACGGUAGCUAAUACCGCAUAACGUCGCAAGACCAAAGAGGGGGACCUUCGGGCCUCUUGCCAUCAGAUGUGCCCGGAUGGGAUUAGCUAGUAGGUGGGGUAAUGGCUCACCUAGGCGACGAUCCCUAGCUGGUCUGAGAGGAUGACCAGCCACACUGGAACUGAGACACGGUCCAGACUCCUACGGGAGGCAGCAGUGGGGAAUAUUGCACAAUGGGCGCAAGCCUGAUGCAGCCAUGCCGCGUGUGUGAAGAAGGCCUUCGGGUUGUAAAGCACUUUCAGCGAGGAGGAAGGUGGUGAGCUUAAUACGUUCAUCAAUUGACGUUACUCGCAGAAGAAGCACCGGCUAACUCCGUG
rnacentral:rRNA from 1 species